GACAGAGGUGCCGAGCGUUAGGCGGAAUCACUGGGCUUAAAGCGCGUGUAGGCGGGUCGUUAAGUGUCUUGUGAAAUCCCACCGCUCAACGGUGGAACUGCUGGGCAUACUGGCGAUCUUGAGCCACCUAGGGGCAGACGGAACAAGCGGUGGAGCGGUGAAAUGCGUAGAUAUCGCUUGGAACGCCGAAGGUGAAAACAGGCUGCUGGGGUUGUGCCGACGCUGAGACACGAAAGCCAGGGGAGCAAACGGG
rnacentral:rRNA from 1 species